rnacentral:rRNA from 1 species
GGUGAACGCUGGCGGCGUGCUUAACACAUGCAAGUCGAACGGGAAUUAUUUUAUUGAAACUUCGGUCGAUUUAAUUUAAUUCUAGUGGCGGACGGGUGAGUAACGCGUGGGUAACCUGCCUUAUACAGGGGGAUAACAGUCAGAAAUGGCUGCUAAUACCGCAUAAGCGCACAGAGCUGCAUGGCUCAGUGUGAAAAACUCCGGUGGUAUAAGAUGGACCCGCGUUGGAUUAGCUGGUUGGUGGGGUAACGGCCCACCAAGGCGACGAUCCAUAGCCGGCCUGAGAGGGUGAACGGCCACAUUGGGACUGAGACACGGCCCAGACUCCUACGGGAGGCAGCAGUGGGGAAUAUUGCACAAUGGGGGAAACCCUGAUGCAGCGACGCCGCGUGAAGGAAGAAGUAUCUCGGUAUGUAAACUUCUAUCAGCAGGGAAGAUAGUGACGGUACCUGACUAAGAAGCCCCGGCUAACUACGUG